rfam:Parcubacteria (Moranbacteria) bacterium GW2011_GWE1_35_17 TR66_C0003, whole genome shotgun sequence.
GCGCUGUUAGCUCAGUUGGUAGAGCAGUUGCCUCUUAAGCAAACGGUCGAGGGUUCGAAUCCCCCACGGCGCA